rnacentral:rRNA from 1 species
CUACGGGUGGCUGCAGUGAGGAAUUUUGCGCAAUGGGGGGAACCCUGACGCAGCAACGCCGCGUGAGUGAUGAAGGCUCUCGGGUCGUAAAGCUCUGUCAAGUGGGAAGAACCUAUGCAGUGUUAAUAUCACUGUAUACUGACGGUACCACUGAAGGAAGCACCGGCUAGCUCCGUGCCAGCAGCCGCGGUAAUACGGGGGGUGCAAGCGUUAUUCGGAAUCAUUGGGCGUAAAGGGCACGUAGGCGGCUUGGUAAGUCAGAUGUGAAAGCCCGGGGCUUAACCCCGGAAGUGCAUUUGAUACUGGCAGGCUUGAGUAUGGGAGAGGGAAGUGGAAUUCCUGGUGUAGAGGUGAAAUUCGUAGAUAUCAGGAGGAACACCGGUGGCGAAGGCGACUUCCUGGACCAAUACUGACGCUGAGGUGCGAAGGCGUGGGUAGCAAACAGGAUUAGAUACCCUUGUAGUC